CCUACGGGCGGCAGCAGUGGGGAAUAUUGGACAAUGGGGGGAACCCUGAUCCAGCCAUGCCGCGUGUGUGAAGAAGGCCCUCGGGUUGUAAAGCACUUUCAGUGAGGAAGAACGCCUGGUGGUUAAUACCCAUCAGGAAAGACAUCACUCACAGAAGAAGCACCGGCUAACUCCGUGCCAGCAGCCGCGGUAAUACGGAGGGUGCGAGCGGUAAUCGGAAUUACUGGGCGUAAAGCGCGCGUAGGUGGCUUGAUAAGCCGGUUGUGAAAGCCCCGGGCUCAACCUGGGAACGGCAGCCGGAACUGUCAAGCUAGAGUGCAGGAGAGGAAGGUAGAAUUCCCGGUGUAGCGGUGAAAUGCGUAGAGAUCGGGAGGAAUACCAGUGGCGAAGGCGGCCUUCUGGACUGACACUGACACUGAGGUGCGAAAGCGUGGGUAGCAAACAGGAUUAGAUACCCGGGUAGUC
rnacentral:rRNA from 1 species